AUCUGAAUAACGGUGGUGCAGUAUUCUAGUCAGGUGCGGUGCAAUCGAGGGCGGGGUUAAAAUACCGCUAAAGAGCAUAUCGAUGAAGUUCCUUGUGUUUGCUUGCGUUGCCCAAACGCGGGUUGAUGCUGGGAGUUAAGGUUUUUGGGCGACCGGUAACGGCAUAUCGGAGACGACCCAAUUUCCGUGGAGACCCAUAUCGGUGGAAUACGUCGGGACGUUCGCUCCCGGGCGUUCUACUGAAUGGGAUUAAACCUGCAAUGCGGUAAUCAAUAUCUGUGUGCAGAGUAGCUUGCCUUGAGUGGAGUCGCGUGAAUUAAGGUAUCGGGCAAGUUGCGAUACGCGAAUCGCAGUUUGCCUCUGCUUAUGAAACCUUCUCUGCAAAAGAGGAUAGAUUGCAUCAAAUCUGUAAAAGAAAUUUUCUAGACUGUUUUAAUCCGAGGAUUAUAGUGUGUACUUAGUGGCGAUUCGGUUGCGCGUGGAGUAAUCGCGCGAUGCGGGGUUCAAAAGGAAACUGCUCGGACGGCGACGACGAGUAUCCCGCAGGGAAACCCUACCGAACCUGAUGGCGCAAGGUUUACUCGGAUUAUUGCCACCGUUAUUCGUA
rnacentral:sRNA from 1 species